UGGGGAAUAUUGGACAAUGGGGGAAACCCUGAUCCAGCAAUGCCGCGUGAGUGCAGAAGGCCUUAGGGUUGUAAAGCUCUUUCGCCCGCGAAGAUAAUGACGGUAGCGGGAGAAGAAGCCCCGGCUACCUCCGUGCCAGCAGCCGCGGUAAUACGGAGGGGGCUAGCGUUGUUCGGACUUACUGGGCGUCAAGCGUACGUAGGCGGAUGCGCAAGUUGGGGGUGAAAUCCCGGGGCUUAACCUCGGAAUUGCCCUCAAAACUGCACUUCUUGAGACCGGGAGAGGUAAGGGGAAUUCCUAGUGUAGAGGUGAAAUUCG
rnacentral:rRNA from 1 species